ACUGGGAGGCCAGGCUGCUGCCAACUGAAUGAGUUUCUAUUUCUCAGCCCAUUAAGCUCAGAAAACUCCAAACAUUCAGAAGACUUUAACAGUGAAAAAAUAGCAUCUAGCCCACCAUGCUGCUUGCCCCAUCCCUUCCAAAUGAGGCUUUCCCCCAGUUCCAAAUCCAGGGAUCCCAAGUUACCCCUGGCUAUGGGAAGAAAGGAUGAGAAGGAAAUAGGGCAACAGCACCAAAGCCCAGGUCUCCAAACCCAGUGCUAGUUUGAGUAAACACAAAGGAAGUGCAUGGAACUGAAUGGGUACAGUGAGUAGGCAGGAGCCAUCUUGCCUUGACUCAUCCAUCUGGCAACCAGGGUCCUGCUCCUAUCCCCUGGAGGGUUCUUGGAAAAGGAACAAGAGCUUUUCAAGCAGAAGCAGGGGCUGAGUAGAGAGGCCCCUGGGAAGACUCCCCAAAAUAACUGGCCAUUUGGUAUCCAGUUCUGUUAUGUUCCAGUUCAGCCUAGGUCAAAGGCAUUAUCAUGUAGUGGCUUUUUUCAUAAGAUUUGGGGUAACUAACAUCAGAGGGCUGUUGGCUGGGGGCACAGCAGGAAACUUCAGACCUGAAUGGAGGGCCUUCUCAAGGAUAGAUGUGAUAAGAAAUACAUUUGAUCUUUGUCUCAGUUCCAGGCACAGAGCUCCUCAAACCCCAGGAAUUUCCUGAGUAAAAGGAGUGUCAUUCAUAAGAAGCUCCCAUUUGAGGGCUAUGGGGGUGCUCAUAUGCUAAUGUGACUUAGGAUGGGACCUCCAGAUAACCUCAGCAUAAGGUUGGUCACUAGCAAGAACAGCAAGAACUAGCAAGAAGGCUGGAACUUUCAGCCCCACCCACUGACUUCUGGGGAAGGGCUGCCAAUUAAGCUUUAUAAAAACUUGAAAACUUU